rnacentral:rRNA from 1 species
AUUGAACGCUGGCGGCAGGCCUAACACAUGCAAGUCGAGCGGAUGAAGGGAGCUUUCUCCUGGAUUCAGCGGCGGACGGGUGAGUAAUGCCUAGGAAUCUGCCUGGUAGUGGGGGAUAACGUCCGGAAACGGGCGCUAAUACCGCAUACGUCCUGAUGGAGAAAGUGGGGGAUCUUCGGACCUCACGCUAUCAGAUGAGCCUAGGUCGGAUUUGCUAGUUGGUGGGGUAAAGGCCUACCAAGGCGACGAUCCGUAACUGGUCUGAGAGGCUGAUCAGUCACACUGGAACUGGGACACGGUCCAGAGUACUACGGGAGGCAGCAGUGGGGAAUAUUGGGCGAUGGGCGAAAGCCUGAUCCAGCCAUGCAGAGUGUGUGAAGAAGGUCUUCGGAUUGUAAAGAACUUUAAGUUGGGAGGAAGGGCAGUAAGUUAAUACCUAGCUGUUUUGACGUUACCAACAGAAUAAGCACCGGCUAACUUCGUG